UACGUAGGUCCCGAGCGUUGUCCGGAUUUAUUGGGCGUAAAGCGAGCGCAGGUGGUUUAUUAAGUCUGGUGUAAAGGCAGUGGCUCAACCAUUGUAUGCAUUGGAAACUGCUAGACUUGAGUGCAGGAGAGGAGAGUGGAAUUCCAUGUGUAGCGGUGAAAUGCGUAGAUAUAUGGAGGAACACCGGUGGCGAAAGCGGCUCUCUGGCCUGUAACUGACACUGAGGCUCGAAAGCGUGGGGAGCAAACAGG
rnacentral:rRNA from 1 species